AAAAUUCCUACGGAAUUUCAACAAGUAUCCAACUUCUAAUUUCCAACAUCUAACCUCUAUAUAGCGGCGGACGGGUGAGUAACACGUGGGUGACCUGCCCUUGAGAGGGGGAUAACAGGUCGAAAGGCCUGCUAAUACCGCAUAAUGCUAAGAAGCUGCAUGGCGUCUUAGCCAAAGGUUAAUUCCGCUCAAGGAUGGGCCCGCGGCCCAUUAGCUAGUUGGUGAGGUAAUGGCUCACCAAGGCGACGAUGGGUAGCCGGCCUGAGAGGGGUGGUCGGCCACACUGGGGCUGAGACACGGCCCAGACUCCUACGGGAGGCAGCAGUGGGGGAAUGUUGCGCAAUGGGGGAAACCCUGACGCAGCGACGCCGCGUGAGCGAUGAAGGCCUUCGGGUUGUAAAGCUCUGUCUUCCCUGACGAUAAUGACGGUAAGGGAGGAGGAAGCCACGGCUAACUACGUGCCAGCAGCCGCGGUAAUACGUAGGUGGCGAGCGUUGUCCGGAAUUACUGGGCGUAAAGGGUGCGUAGGCGGCUCUUUAAGUGGGAUGUGAAAUCCCUGGGCUCAACCCAGGAACUGCAUUCCAAACUGGAGAGCUAGAGUGCAGGAGAGGAAAGCGGAAUUCCCAGUGUAGCGGUGAAAUGCGUAGAGAUUGGGAGGAACACCAGUGGGCGAAGGCGGCUUUCUGGACUGUAACUGACGCUGAGGCACGAAAGCGUGGGGAGCAAACAGGAUUAGAUACCCUGGUAGUCCACGCUGUAAACGAUGGGUACUAGGUGUAGGGGGCGAAGCCCUCUGUGCCCGCAGCUAACGCAUUAAGUACCCCGCCUGGGGAGUACGGUCGCAAGAUU
rnacentral:rRNA from 1 species